rnacentral:lncRNA from 1 species
UUUUUAAUUCACUUCCGUUCCGCGACCUACACAAGUUCAACAACCUCUAUCAGAUUAAUCCGCAAAUUGUCCUUUUUUUUCACUUGAAACUCCAUAUCCGCUGAUCGCCUAUCCUAUCUUACAAACUUACAAUAUACAAACUGCAAAGGAAGAAGUGUAUCUACCAACUCGCGAAGAAGCCGGCCGGCGCAAGAAAAAACGUGACAUGAAGCAUGUGAUAAUAAUUAGUAUUUAACUGAAGGUGAAACCCAGCCAUCCGCCAAACUAAACUAUACCAAUACGACCAUACAAAGAAAAAGAGGAAGCUGAACCGUCCAGUGUUUCGAAAUGUAACAUUACAAGGAAUUCUAUUCGUAAAACGACCACAGCGACAAUAAAUACUGCCGAUGAAGUGGUUAAAUCUCAAGAUGGACCAGCAGAAGACACGAAGCAGAAGAAAAAUUCUCUUGGUACAUGGUGUCCCUGAAGCUGCAAAGGAAGAUGUCCCAGCAGUUGUAUUUUUUUUUUUUAUUCUUUACAUGUUAGCCCUUGACUACAAUCUUAUGUGAUUGUGAGUGCAG